rnacentral:rRNA from 1 species
AUUGAACACUGGCGGCAUGCCUUACACAUGCAAGUCGAACGGCAGCACGGGAGCUUGCUCCUGGUGGCGAGUGGCGAACGGGUGAGUAAAGCAUCGGAACGUGCCCUGAAGUGGGGGAUAACGUAGCGAAAGUUACGCUAAUACCGCAUAUUCUGUGAGCAGGAAAGCAGGGGAUCGCAAGACCUUGUGCUUUAGGAGCGGCCGAUGUCGGAUUAGCUAGUUGGUGGGGUAAAGGCCUACCAAGGCGACGAUCCGUAGCGGGUCUGAGAGGAUGAUCCGCCACACUGGGACUGAGACACGGCCCAGACUCCUACGGGAGGCAGCAGUGGGGAAUUUUGGACAAUGGGCGCAAGCCUGAUCCAGCCAUGCCGCGUGAGUGAAGAAGGCCUUCGGGUUGUAAAGCUCUUUCGGUGGGGAAGAAAUUGCACUCUCUAAUACAGGGUGUAGAUGACGGUACCCGCAUAAGAAGCACCGGCUAACUACGUGCCAGCAGCCGCCGUAACAC